GAGUCAUACAACUCUGCUGAAUUCAAAACAUUCCCAUUCUUAUCACUGCCUCCUGCAACAACAGCAAUAGAACCAAAGCUACCCGAUCCAAACAAACACCGGGGACGAUUCAUGCCUUCACACUUGACCCAAGCACGACGAAUCAAGCUAUACUUCCAAAUAGCAAAAUCAAACAACUCACGCCCAAAAACAAGCAAUUCGCUGCCCACGGCCAAUGACUCCUUAUCUGCAUGAUUGAAACACUCAUCACAAGGUAUCUUGGGCAAAGCCAUCCAUUUCUUUCUCACAGGAUCAAAUGCCUCCCAUCCCCUUGGAUCACAAACUAAAUACACCCAAUGCUCUAUAAUUCCCAAUUGCUUCCUUAGCCCAUACAAAUAUCCGCUUUCAAUUAGCUUAUGAAACAUCUUGUUUAUACAUGAUAAUGAGGCAUAGUCUGAUCUGCAUGCCGAGGCCAGACAAUUCAAUGCAACAUCAUCAAUAAGACCAGGGAGGAGUGAAUCACUUGAUCCUAAUCGUAAGCGACCAUCAUUUACUCCUCCCCUCGUAUUCAUUAUUGAAUGACUCAUUACUUCCUCUUCUUCCUCCAUCA
rnacentral:misc_RNA from 1 species